rnacentral:rRNA from 1 species
GUGCCAGCAGCCGCGGUAAGACGAACCGUGCAAACGUUAUUCGGAAUCACUGGGCUUAAAGGGCGCGUAGGCGGGUUCUCAAGUCAGGGGUGAAAUCCCACGGCUCAACCGUGGAAGUGCCUUUGAUACUGGGAAUCUCGAGGGAGGUAGGGGCGUGCGGAACUUCGGGUGGAGCGGUGAAAUGCGUAGAUAUCCGAAGGAACACCGGUGGCGAAAGCGGCGCGCUGGACCUCUGCUGACGCUGAGGCGCGAAAGCCAGGGGAGCAAACGGGAUUAGAUACCCCUGUAGUCC